rnacentral:rRNA from 1 species
CGAUCAGUAGCCGACCUGAGAGGGUGAUCGGCCACAUUGGAACUGAGACACGGUCCAAACUCCUACGGGAGGCAGCAGUGGGGAAUAUUGCACAAUGGGCGAAAGCCUGAUGCAGCAACGCCGCGUGAGUGAUGAAGGCCUUCGGGUCGUAAAACUCUGUCCUCAAGGAAGAUAAUGACGGUACUUGAGGAGGAAGCCCCGGCUAACUACGUGCCAGCAGCCGCGGUAAUACGUAGGGGGCUAGCGUUAUCCGGAUUUACUGGGCGUAAAGGGUGCGUAGGCGGUCUUUCAAGUCAGGAGUGAAAGGCUACGGCUCAACCGUAGUAAGCUCUUGAAACUGGGAGACUUGAGUGCAGGAGAGGAGAGUGGAAUUCCUAGUGUAGCGGUGAAAUGCGUAGAUAUUAGGAGGAACACCAGUUGCGAAGGCGGCUCUCUGGACUGUAACUGACGCUG